rnacentral:rRNA from 1 species
GAUGAACGCUGGCGGCGUGCUUAACACAUGCAAGUCGAGCGAAGCACUCUGUCCGGAUUCUUCGGAAUGAAGAGUGAUUUGACUGAGCGGCGGACGGGUGAGUAACGCGUGGGCAACCUGCCUCAUACAGGGGGAUAACAGUUAGAAAUGACUGCUAAUACCGCAUAAGACCACAGUACCGCAUGGUAUGGUGGUAAAAACUCCGGUGGUAUGAGAUGGGCCCGCGUCUGAUUAGGUAGUUGGUGGGGUAACGGCCUACCAAGCCGACGAUCAGUAGCCGACCUGAGAGGGUGACCGGCCACAUUGGGACUGAGACACGGCCCAAACUCCUACGGGAGGCAGCAGUGGGGAAUAUUGCACAAAUGGGGAAAACCUGAUGCAGCGACGCCGCGUGAAGGAUGAAGUAUUUCGGUAUGUAAACUUCUAUCAGCAGGGAAGAAAAUGACGGUACCUGACUAAGAAGCCCCGGCUAAACUACGUGCCAGCCGCCGCGGUAA